rnacentral:rRNA from 1 species
CAGCAGCCGCGGGAAUACGAAGGGUGCAAGCGUUAAUCGGAAUUACUGGGCGUAAAGCGUGCGUAGGUGGUGGUUUAAGUCCGUUGUGAAAGCCCUGGGCUCAACCUGGGAAUUGCAGUGGAUACUGGGUCACUAGAGUGUGGUAGAGGAUAGUGGAAUUUCCGGUGUAGCAGUGAAUGCGUAGAGAUCGGAAGGAACAUCUGUGGCGAAGGCGACUAUCUGGGCCAACACUGACACUGAGGCACGAAAGCGUGGGGAGCAAACAGGAUUAGAUACCCCCGUAGUCCCUGUCUCUUAUACC